GCCAGGUGUGGUGGUGCACGCCUGUAAUCCCAGCUACUGGGGAGGCUGAGGCAGGAGAUUUGCUUGAACCCAGGAGCCGGAGGUUAUAGUGAGCCGAGAUCGGACCACUGCACUCUAGCCUGGGCGACAGAGCAAGACUCUGUCUCAA
rnacentral:SRP_RNA from 1 species